UACGUAGGUGGCAAGCGUUGUCCGGAUUUAUUGGGCGUAAAGCAUGCGUAGGCGGAUAUUUCAGUGGGAUGUGAAACCCCGGGGCUCACCCCCGGACGUGCAUUCAAAUCUGGAUGUCUAGAGUACAGGAGAGGAAAGGGGAAUUCCUAGUGUAGCGGUGAAAUGCGUAGAGAUUAGAAAGAACACCAGUGGCGAAGGCGCCUUUCUGGACUGUAACUGACGCUGAGGCAUGAAAGCGUGGGUAGCAAACAGG
rnacentral:rRNA from 1 species